rnacentral:rRNA from 1 species
UACGUAGGGAGCAAGCGUUGUCCGGAUUUAUUGGGCGUAAAGCGCGUGUAGGCGGUUUGAUAAGCCGGGUGUGAAACCUCCAAGCUCAACUUGGAGCGGCCACUCGGAACUGUCAUGACUUGGGUCAGGUAGGGGAACACGGAAUUCCAGGUGUAGCGGUGAAAUGCUUAGAUAUCUGGAGGAACACCAGUGGCGAAGGCGGUGUUCUGGGCCUGUACUGACGCUGAUGCGCGAAAGCGUGGGGAGCGAACAGG